rnacentral:rRNA from 1 species
UGAGGAAUCUUCCACAAUGGACGCAAGUCUGAUGGAGCAACGCCGCGUGAGUGAAGAAGGUUUUCGGACCGUAAAGCUCUGUUGUUGGUGAAGAAGGAUAGAGGUAGUAACUGGCCUUUAUUUGACGGUAAUCAACCAGAAAGUCACGGCUAACUACGUGCCAGCAGCCGCGGUAAUACGUAGGUGGCAAGCGUUGUCCGGAUUUAUUGGGCGUAAAGCGAGCGCAGGCGGAAGAAUAAGUCUGAUGUGAAAGCCCUCGGCUUAACCGAGGAAUUGCAUCGGAAACUGUUUUCUUGAGUGCAGAAGAGGAGAGUAGAACUCCAUGUGUAGCGGUGGAAUGCGUAGAUAUAUGGAAGAAUACCAGUGGCGAAGGCGGCUCUCUGGUCUGCAACUGACGCUGAGGCUCGAAAGCAUGGGUAGCGAACAGGAUUAGAUACCCUGGUAGUCCAUGCCGUAAACGAUGAGUGCUAAGUGUUGGGAGGCUUCCGCCUCUCAGUGCUGCAGCUAACGCAUUAAGCACUCCGCCUGGGGAGUACGACCGCAAGGUUGAAAC